AUCGAUGACAUAUUGUUUUAACAUCAAAAAAAAAUUUAAUUUAUAAGUAUUUUAAAGGGGUUAUUAAGGAUAACUAGCAAAUUUAUAAAAAAGGAGGCAAAAGCCAAAAGCCAUCAAUACAGAUAAAAUUAUAAUUUUAUAUAUGGAAUCUGUGUGCGAGAAUGUGGCGAUCUAAGGGAAACCUUAUUAUUAUUACUUCCCGAAGUAAAACAUUUCAUUAGGGAAAGGAAAGGAAAUCAACCGAGACUCCGAAAGUAAUGGUGAGUGAAAUCGGAUUAGCCUGAUUUUUUUUAUAUAAAAUAAAAAUUGAUUAAAAAUAUAUUUAAUUUUAUUCUUAUUUAAAGAUGACAAAAUAAGUGAAAGUUAAAAUCUGGUGAAAGUGGAAAUUUCAUUAAGAAUAACUUAACAAAUUAAAUUAGUUUUUAGUAUGAGUAAAUAUAAAUUACGUUAAUGUAAAUAUUUCAUAAUUAAUUUAUUCAUAACUACCUGCGGGUCGGUCAUAUAAAAGGUUUAUAAAAGUCCUGUAUUUUUUAUAUAAACAAAAAGUGAAUUAUAUUAUAUAAUAUCAAAAAUAUAUAUAAUAUUUUUCAAUAAUCAAGUACGAUGAGAGAUAACUUGUCGGAAUAUAGGGGAACCAUCCUCUAAGGCUAAGUAUUAUAAAUUUAGCGAUAGUGAAAAAGUACCGUGAGGGAAAAGUUGAAAAGUGUGAGGGUCAAUAAUUAUUAGAUAUAGCUAGAAAUAAUAUAUUGAGAAUUAUAACCCUUGAAAGUAAAUAACGCAGUGAAAUAGACUUGAAUUAGUAACUCUAUAAGCAGUCGAAAUUUCUUUAAAAUAGAACGAGAGAUGACGGCGUACCUUUUGCAUAAUGGGUCAGCAAGUUAAUAGGAGUAGCAAGGUUAAAAACCUUAGCGAAAGCGACUGGAUCAAAAAAGAUAAUGGGUAAGUUACUUCUAUUAGACCCGAAGCCAGGUGAUCUUUCUAGGACCAGAUUAUAAUGGAUCGAACGGGUGAAUGUUGCAUAAUUCUCCGAAGAGUCCUUGAAAGCGGCGAAAUACCAAUCUGACCUGGUGAUAGCUGGUUUUCUACGAAACAUAUUUAAGUAUGACAUCUACACAAAAUUUAUGGAGGUACAGCACGGCAAUUCCCAACAAGUUUUAGAAUAGUACAUUUUUAUAAAUUUAUUUAUUUUAUUAGGAGUUUAGGUUGCGGGGACCUCGAAAAUCUUACCAAUGGAAGUGAAACUCGGAAUUACAUAAAUUGAUGGUAGAUAUUCAGACUGCUCAUGCUAAGUUGGGUAGUCAAGACGGAAACAGCCGAGAACACAUGAUUAAGGUCCCCAAUGAUUAUUAAGUGAAAUAAAGGAAGUAACAAAUUGAAUGCAGCUGUAAAGUGAGCUUGGUAGUAGCUACUUAUAAUGAUCGUGUAACAACGCAUCAGCCCUUAGAGUGUUGCGCCGAAAAUUCAACGGGUCUUAAAUAAUCAACCGAUAUCGUGUUAAUUUUAAAUAAAAAUUUAUUAUUUGUUUAUAAUUUAUAGACAAAUAUAUCAUAAACUUUUUAUAAAUAAUUAAUUAUACAAAAUAAAAUUUUAUCUUGAACUAUUAAUUAAUUAUUUGUUAUUUAAUUUAAUUAUUUAAAAAUUAAUAUAAAUUAGUUUAAUAUUUCCCAUUUAUAUGAAAUAUGUUAAUAAAAAAAAUAAUACAAAUUUUUAAAUAAUUAAUUUUGUUUUUAAUAGUUUAAAGUAUAAUAUAAAUAUAAUUUAUAAUUAGAUUUUUAUAUUGUUAAUAUAUUAUAUUUAUCUUAAUUUAAUAUAUUAUCUUUAUUUUAUUUAAAAUCUAGGUAGUAGAACAUUCAGAUAUUUUAAAUCCCCAUGAUUAACAGUGUUUCAUUGUUCAUAGGAAUCUGAAGAGAUAAUGCUGACAUGAGUAACGUAAAAAGAAAGAAAAAAUUAGAUCGAGAGGUCUUUGAAGUUUUAAACUUUCUCGCCGAAUACGAAAGGGUUAUUAGCUAAAGAUUAAAUCAACUAAUGUUAUAGCGGUCUCUAAGGUACAAAACCAAUGUUUUGGCUGAUGAGUUAAACUUUGAAAGUCCACAGGGAGAUUAUUAACAAAUAACACAGAAUAGUAAUGAAAAUAUUGAAUAAAAUUAAUUUAAACUAUUGUUUUUAUUAGUUUAGCAGUAUUCUAAUGAAAAGAAGAUUAUUUGAUGAAAAUGUAAGUGAUUUUUAAAAAAUAAUAUUGAAUUGUUCUGAAAAACUUAGUUGAAUAUAAUAGUAAACUUUAGUUGUUAUUUUUAAUAAAAUUGGGACCAGGAAAAAAAUGUUUGAAUAACUCAAUUUGUAGAAGAUAAUUUAGAACUAAACUUUUAGUUUAACUAUCAAAAAAUAAAUAUUCUAAUAAAUUAUAGUUUUCUCUAAUAGUCUAAGAGUAAAUAUUUAUUUUUAUUUUUAUAUUUAGUUUAGUCAAAAGAAUUUAAUUUAGGUGUGAAUUUGAAUUUGUCUUUAUUUAUUUUUUAAUUUAAAGUUCGUAAUUUUAAUUACAAAUUGAGCCUACCGUACCCUAAACCGACACAGGUUCGUAGGUAGAGUAUACUAAGGCGUAGAGCUAAAAGUUGUUAAGGAACUCGGCAAAUUAUCCUCAUAAGUUCGACGACAAGAGGAACCAUUUAUAAGUAGUUAAUAACUCCAUUGAAUUUUAUUAAUCUCUUAUGUGGUGGCACAAAAUCGGAAGCCCCGACUGUUUACUAAAAACACAGCUAUCUGCAACGAUGUAAAUCAUAGUAUAGGUAGUGAGGUUUGCCCGAUGCCAUUAAUAUAAGAGAAGUGAUGGGUAACUGUUAAUUAUCGAAAAUCUGGUUAAUAGCGGUCUUAACUAUGAGGAUCCUAAGGUAGCAAAAUAAAUUGGCCAUUAAAUGUGGUCCGGUAUCAAUAAUUUAACGAUGGCUUCACUGUCUCUACAACUUGCUCAGUGAAAUUGAAUUACCCGUGCAGAUGCGGGUUGCCACCAGGGGGACGGGAAGACCCUAUGCAGCUUCUACUGUAGUUAAUCAUCAUAUUAAUCUAGAACAACCUUAGUCAAUAGCAAAUAGGUAUGUCGAUAGACAAAAAUUGGAAGACCUUAAGUCUAGGGUUGGGUUAAUGUUUACCUUUUUAUUUAACACAAAAUAAAAUGGGAGAGCUGAUUGAUUGGCAGUUUGACUGGGGCGGUCGUCUUUAAUAGAGUAGCAAAGUACAUCCAAAUAUAAAAUUAAUUAUAAAAUAUUUACUAUUAAUAAUAUUAAUGUGUAAAUAUUCUCACAAAUAUCAUAUUGCUGUAAAUUUUUAAUUUACUUUAACAUCAAUUUUUAUUUUUUGUUUUUAUAAGGUAUAGCUAGAAAUUGAAUGGAGAUCAAUUAACCAGUGAUAAGGUUAUGGAGGGCGCAAUGGCGGUAAGCAUGCUUAACUGAUAGACUUAAAAGUCGCACAGAUACGUAAGUAGGGCAUAGUGACCCCUCGCUAUAUUAUGGAUAGACGGGAUCAAUUGAUAAAAGUUACGCUAGGGAUAACAGGCUGAUAGCCGGCGAGAGUACACAUUGUCCCGGCUGUUUGGCACCUCGAUGUCGACUUAUCCUAUCCUCCGGGGGAAGAAGCUUGGAAGGGUUCGGCUGUUCGCCGAUUAAAAGGUUACAUGAGUUGGGUUUAAUACGACGUGAGUCAGUAUGGUCCCUAUCUUCUGGUGGGACAAAUAGUAAAAAGGGGGAGACCUUCCAGUACGAAAGGACCAAUAGGAUGUGUUUCUCUAGUGUACCAAUUGUUGAAAAUGAACUUUAAAAACUUGAAGACAAAAGUAAAGUGGAUAUUGUGAGUGAUUGGCAUAGUUGGGUAGCCACAAACAUAUUAGAUAAGAGCUGAUUGUAUAUAAAGCACGAAACUAUCCCCUAGAUACUAUCAUGGAUUUCUCUUUGUCUCUAUCUUUAGAGGAUUGAUAAGUAUCCCUAUCUUAUCAAAUAUUUCUUGUAAUCUUUGUCAAUUAAGUUUAUACUUUAAUUUUCUAUAAAACAAAUAAUGAAAAUUAUUUCAAUAGUUAAAAAAAUUUUAUGUAUUAUUUAAUUGAAUUUAAGAUAGAAUUGUAUUAUAAAAUAAUAUGUUUAAUCAUAUUAUAAAUAAUAUGGCAAAGAGUUGGGAAAAUCCAAAUAAAUUAAGAAAUAGAACAUUUCUUUAAUAGGAUGCAAAUGAAUUC
rnacentral:rRNA from 1 species